UUCCAGAAAAGUUGUACUCGUAGCAACUUGGAAUAGAAUCUGGCAUGCCUCAGGUUUUCAGGGGAGGUGAUACAUCAUUUCCUUGGCCUUUCUUUGGCUGCUUACAUGU